rnacentral:rRNA from 1 species
UACGGAGGGGACUAGCGUUGUUCGGAAUUACUGGGCGUAAAGCGCACGUAGGCGGAUUUGUAAGUCAGGGGUGAAAUCCCGGGGCUCAACCUCGGAACUGCCUUUGAUACUGCAAAUCUCGAGUCCGGAAGAGGUGAGUGGAAUUCCUGGUGUAGCGGUGAAAUGCGUAGAUAUCAGGAGGAACACCUGUGGCGAAAGCGGCGCACUGGACCACAACUGACGCUGAGGCGCGAAAGCUAGGGGAGCAAACAGG